AUGAACGCUGGCGGCGUGCCUAACACAUGCAAGUCGAACGGAGUUCUUAAGGAAUGCGACUUCGGUCAAAUGACUUUUGAACUUAGUGGCGGACGGGUGAGUAACGCGUGAGCAACCUGCCUUUCAGAGGGGGAUAACAUUUGGAAACAGAUGCUAAUACCGCAUAAGAUUACAGUACCGCAUGAUACAGUGAUCAAAGGAGCAAUCCGCUGAAAGAUGGGCUCGCGUCCGAUUAGAUAGUUGGUGAGGUAACGGCUCACCAAGUCGACGAUCGGUAGCCGGACUGAGAGGUUGAACGGCCACAUUGGGACUGAGACACGGCCCAGACUCCUACGGGAGGCAGCAGUGGGGAAUAUUGCACAAUGGGCGAAAGCCUGAUGCAGCAACGCCGCGUGAGGGAAGACGGUUUUCGGAUUGUAAACCUCUGUUUUCGGUGACGAACAAAUGACGGUAACCGAGUAGGAAGCCACGGCUAACUACGUGCCAGCAGCCGCGGUAAUACGUAGGUGGCAAGCGUUAUCCGGAAUUACUGGGUGUAAAGGGAGCGCAGGCGGGAUAGCAAGUCAGCUGUGAAAACUAUGGGCUCAACCCAUAAACUGCAGUUGAAACUGUUAUUCUUGAGUGGAGUAGAGGCAAGCGGAAUUCCGAGUGUAGCGGUGAAAUGCGUAGAUAUUCGGAGGAACACCAGUGGCGAAGGCGGCUUGCUGGGCUCUAACUGACGCUGAGGCUCGAAAGUGUGGGGAGCAAACAGGAUUAGAUACCCUGGUAGUCCACACUGUAAACGAUGAUUGCUAGGUGUGGGGGGUCUGACCCCCUCC
rnacentral:rRNA from 1 species